GAUGAACGCUGGCGGCGUGCCUAAUACAUGCAAGUCGAGCGAAUGGAUUAAGAGCUUGCUCUUAUGAAGUUAGCGGCGGACGGGUGAGUAACACGUGGGUAACCUGCCCAUAAGACUGGGAUAACUCCGGGAAACCGGGGCUAAUACCGGAUAACAUUUUGAACCGCAUGGUUCGAAAUUGAAAGGCGGCUUCGGCUGUCGCUUAUGGAUGGACCCGCAUCGCAUUAGCUAGUUGGUGAGGUAACGGCUCACCAAGGCAACGAUGCGUAGCCGACCUGAGAGGGUGAUCGGCCACACUGGGACUGGGACACGGCCCAGACUCCUACGGGAGGCAGCAGUAGGGAAUCUUCCGCAAUGGACGAAAGUCUGACGGAGCAACGCCGCGUGAGUGAUGAAGGCUUUCGGGUCGUAAAACUCUGUUGUUAGGGAAGAACAAGUGCUAGUUGAAUAAGCUGGCACCUUGACGGUACCUAACCAGAAAGCCACGGCUAACUACGUGCCAGCCGCCGCGGUAA
rnacentral:rRNA from 1 species